rnacentral:rRNA from 1 species
CCUACGGGUGGCAGCAGUGGGGAAUAUUGGACAAUGGGCGAAAGCCUGAUCCAGCCAUGCCGCGUGUGUGAAGAAGGCCUUCGGGUUGUAAAGCACUUUCAGUGGGGAAGAAAGCCUUGGGGCUAAUACCCUCGAGGAAGGACAUCACCCACAGAAGAAGCACCGGCUAACUCCGUGCCAGCAGCCGCGGUAAUACGGAGGGUGCGAGCGUUAAUCGGAAUUACUGGGCGUAAAGCGCGCGUAGGCGGUCUGAUAAGCCGGUUGUGAAAGCCCCGGGCUCAACCUGGGAACGGCAUCCGGAACUGUCAGGCUAGAGUGCAGGAGAGGAAGGUAGAAUUCCCGGUGUAGCGGUGAAAUGCGUAGAGAUCGGGAGGAAUACCAGUGGCGAAGGCGGCCUUCUGGACUGACACUGACGCUGAGGUGCGAAAGCGUGGGUAGCAAACAGGAUUAGAUACCCUGGUGGUC